rnacentral:rRNA from 1 species
GGGUGCGAUCAUACCAAUGUUAAUGCAACGUAUCCCAUCAGAACUCCACAAUUAAGCACACUUGGGCUAGAGUAGUACUGGGAUGGGUGACCUCUCGGGAAGUCAUAGUGUUGCACCCU